rnacentral:rRNA from 1 species
GUCCACGCCGUAAACGAUGCAUGCUAGACGUGAGGGGGCUUAGCCCUUUUGUGUCGCCGCUAACGCAUUAAGCAUGCCGCCUGGGGAGUACGGUCGCAAGAUUAAAACUCAAAGGAAUUGACGGGGGCCCCGCACAAGCGGUGGAGUAUGUGGUUUAAUUCGACGCUACGCGAAGAACCUUACCAGGCCUUGACAUGGGUAGUAUGGAUUCCGGAAACGGAGUCCUUCAGUUCGGCUGGCUACCACACAGGUGCUGCAUGGCUGUCGU